rnacentral:rRNA from 1 species
UAACACGUAUCCAACCUGCCGUCUACUCUUGGACAGCCUUCUGAAAGGAAGAUUAAUACAAGAUGGCAUCAUGAGUUCGCAUGUUCACAUGAUUAAAGGUAUUCCGGUAGACGAUGGGGAUGCGUUCCAUUAGAUAGUAGGCGGGGUAACGGCCCACCUAGUCUUCGAUGGAUAGGGGUUCUGAGAGGAAGGUCCCCCACAUUGGAACUGAGACACGGUCCAAACUCCUACGGGAGGCAGCAGUGAGGAAUAUUGGUCAAUGGGCGCAGGCCUGAACCAGCCAAGUAGCGUGAAGGAUGACUGCCCUAUGGGUUGUAAACUUCUUUUAUAAAGGAAUAAAGUCGGGUAUGUAUACCCGUUUGCAUGUACUUUAUGAAUAAGGAUCGGCUAACUCCGUGCCAGCAGCCGCGGUAAUACGGAGGAUCCGAGCGUUAUCCGGAUUUAUUGGGUUUAAAGGGAGCGUAGAUGGAUGUUUAAGUCAGUUGUGAAAGUUUGCGGCUCAACCGUAAAAUUGCAGUUGAUACUGGAUAUCUUGAGUGCGGUUGAGGCAGGCGGAAUUCGUGGUGUAGCGGUGAAAUGCUUAGAUAUCACGAAGAACUCCGAUUGCGAAGGCAGCCUGCUAAGCUGCAACUGACAUUGAGGCUCGAAAGUGUGGGUAUCAAACAGGAUUAGAUACCCUGGUAGUCCACACGGUAAACGAUGAAUACUCGCUGU